CUGGUUGAUCCUGCCGGAGGCCACCGCUAUUGGGGUCCGACUAAGCCAUGCGAGUCAUGGGGCGCCUUGCGCGCACCGGCGGACGGCUCAGUAACACGUCGGUAACCUACCCUCGGGAGGGGGACAACCCCGGGAAACUGGGGCUAAUCCCCCAUAGGUUUAGGGCACUGGAAUGUCCCUAAACCGAAAGGGGCUCUGCCCGCCCGAGGAUGGGCCGGCGGCCGAUUAGGUAGUUGGUGGGGUAACGGCCCACCAAGCCCAUAAUCGGUACGGGCAGUGAGAGCUGGAGCCCGGAGAUGGACACUGAGACACGGGUCCAGGCCCUACGGGGCGCAGCAGGCGCGAAACCUCCGCAAUGCUCGGAAGAGCGACGGGGGGACCCCAAGUGCCGUGGUACAACCACGGCUUUUCCGGAGUGUAGGAAGCUCCGGGAAUAAGGGCUGGGCAAGGCCGGUGGCAGCCGCCGCGGUAAUACCGGCGGCCCGAGUGGUGGCCACUAUUAUUGGGCCUAAAGCGUCCGUAGCCGGGCUUGUAAGUCCCUGGCGAAAUCCCACGGCUCAACCGUGGGGCUUGCUGGGGAUACUGCAAGCCUUGGGACCGGGAGAGGCCGGGGGUACUCCUGGGGUAGGGGUGAAAUCCUAUAAUCCCAGGAGGACCGCCAGUGGCGAAGGCGCCCGGCUGGAACGGGUCCGACGGUGAGGGACGAAGGCCAGGGGAGCAAACCGGAUUAGAUACCCGGGUAGUCCUGGCUGUAAAGGAUGCGGGCUAGGUGUUGCUUGGACCUCGAGUCCAGGCAGUGCCGCAGGGAAGCCGUUAAGCCCGCCGCCUGGGGAGUACGGCCGCAAGGCUGAAACUUAAAGGAAUUGGCGGGGGAGCACUACAAGGGGUGGAGCGUGCGGUUUAAUUGGAUUCAACGCCGG
rnacentral:rRNA from 1 species